GACAGAGGGUGCAAGCGUUGUUCGGAAUUACUGGGCGUAAAGGGCGCGUAGGCGGUCCGCUAAGUUCGGCGUGAAGUCCCCUGGCUCAACUGGGGAACGGCGCUGGAUACUGGUGGACUCGAGUACCGGAGAGGAGAGUGGAAUUCCUGGUGUAGCGGUGAAAUGCGUAGAUAUCAGGAGGAACACCGGUGGCGAAGGCGGCAUCCUGGACCAAUACUGACGCUGAGGAGCGAAAGCCAGGGGAGCAAACGGG
rnacentral:rRNA from 1 species